UACGUAGGAGGCAAGCGUUGUCCGGAAUUACUGGGUGUAAAGCGCGUGUAGGCGGCAGACUAAGUCUGUGGUGAAAAUCGCCCGGCUCAACUGGGCGGGGUCAGCGGAUACGGUCGAGCUUGAGCAAGCUAGGGGGCAAUGGAAUUCCCGGUGUAGUGGUGGAAUGCGUAGAUAUCGGGAGGAACACCAGUGGCGAAGGCGGUUGCCUGGGGCUUUGCUGACGCUGAUGCGCGAAAGCGUGGGGAGCGAGUCCGG
rnacentral:rRNA from 1 species